AACACUAUUUUUGCCCUAGAACCACUACAUUUAGCUGUAGGGAGUUUGGUCCUUAGAGUGUCCCUGAAAUCUGGUAGACAAUGGUUGUCUACUAGCUACAAUUUGUAUUGUAUGAUACUAUGGGUUCCUGAAAUGUUUUAAUAACAAAGUCAUGUCAGGAAUGGAGAUACAUCUGAUGACAGAGUUUAUUAAGAGACAAACAAUACAUUCAUCAAUUGUAGAUGGUGAUCUACUGGGCAUAUAGUUAUUUUAUACAUAUCAUUAAAAUUGCCACAGUUUUAGGCAAUGUCUAGAGAUAAAGAUGCUGCUUUAGACAUCUCAGACUCGAAAAUCAGG